rnacentral:rRNA from 1 species
AAUAUUGCACAAUGGGCGCAAGCCUGAUGCAGCCAUGCCGCGUGUUUGAAGAAGGCCUUUGGGUUGUAAAGUACUUUUAGCGAGGAGGAAGGCGUUGUGGUUAAUAACCGCAGCGAUUGACGUUACUUGCUGAAGAAGCACCUGCUAACUCCGUGCCAGCAGCCGCGGUAAUACGGAGGGUGCAAGCGUUAAUCGGAAUUACUGGGCGUAAAGCGCACGCAGGCGGUCUGUCAAGUCGGAUGUGAAAUCCCCGGGCUCAACCUGGGAACUGCAUCCGAAACUGGCAGGCUAGAGUCUUGUAGAGGGGGGUAGAAUUCCAGGUGUAGCGGUGAAAUGCGUAGAGAUCUGGAGGAAUACCGGUGGCGAAGGCGGCCCCCUGGACAAAGACUGACGCUCAGGUGCGAAAGCGUGGGGAGCAAAC